rnacentral:rRNA from 1 species
UACGUAGGGGGCAAGCGUUAUCCGGAAUUAUUGGGUGUAAAGGGAGCGUAGGCGGGAGAGCAAGUCGACUGUGAAAUCUAUGGGCUUAACCCAUAGCUGCGAUCGAAACUGUUCAUCUUGAGUGAAGUAGAGGCAGGCGGAAUUCCUAGUGUAGCGGUGAAAUGCGUAAAUAUUAGGAGGAACACCAGUGGCGAAGGCGGCCUGCUGGGCUUUAACUGACGCUGAGGCUCGAAAGCGUGGGUAGCAAACAGG